CUCGCCCGGCCCCCGCCCGCCGCCGAGCGCGGCGUCGCGAGGAAGGUGUGACUUGCAGAGGAGUUGAUUCCUUCUUAUGUACAUUUACUGGAGAAGUUUACAGCAGGAGACUGGGGUCUGAGACACACGCAUCUUUGUGUGCCCCAAAGAAUAAAGCCCUCAAAGGAUGUGAAGCCUGAACUCACUUCAAAUGCUGGAAAGGCCCUUUCCUUAGCUGAGCUGUGGAGGAACCAGGACUCCUGUGGCACUGCCCUAACGAGGAGGCAGUGCUGCCAGAUUCAGAAAAAUAUUUGAAGAAUCACAUAGUCAAAAGCAAAAAUCCAGAAAUGGUCAAGAGAACUACGAUUAUUGAGCCUCACUGAGUGUUCACACUGGUCUGCAAGACAGCUUUGAUUCAGCUGAUUUCAGCCAGGCUCACCCCGACUUUGCAGGGCGCUGCGAACCCCAGCCUUCAGGUCGGGUUCAGCAUCCAGCAGUGCCCUGGAAAAGUGGCUGUGAAGUUACUUGCAAGACUGCAUUGAACCCGGGCGAGACACUUCUCAGGGGAGCUGUCCAGCUACAUUCUCUGAGUGAAGGUCCUGAACAGCUUGGAGUACUAAGAAGAGCGCUGGACAUGAACUGGAAUAUGUGGGUUCAAAUCCCACCUUUUCACUGCCCAGCUCUGUGACCCUGAGCAAGUGACUCAACCUCUGUGAGCCCCGUGUCCUCUCUGUAAAAUGGAGGUAUGAAUGCCUGUGAGAACAGGAUAUGGGGAGGGUUCCUGUAUAACACUUCGCCCUGCCCAUCUGAAUAAAAGGCUGCAUUCACCCUUCCUAAGGAAGACCACUUUCCGAUGUUCCAGUCUGAAGACAAGGAAUGCAAAGCUCACGGAUGCCGAGGAAUUUAUCCAAGAUCACUGUGAUGGGAUGGGAACUUUGGUUUUCAGCCUUUAAAUACAUUGGUGCAGAAGUCCAAGAAAGAUGCUUGGAAAGACCUAGUGGUA
rnacentral:lncRNA from 10 species